rnacentral:rRNA from 1 species
CAGGCCUAACACAUGCAAGUCGAGUGGAAACGGCAGUAUUGAAACUUCGGUGGAUUUACUGGACGUCGAGCGGCGGACGGGUGAGUAACGGCUGGGAACCUGCCCUGACGAGGGGGAUAACCGUUGGAAAUGACGGCUAAUACCGCAUAAUGUCUUGAUUCGUUAGAGUCAGGACCAAAGGUGGUUUCUACAUGUAAGCUAUCGCGUUGGGAUGGGCCCAGUUAGGAUUAGCUAGUUGGUAAGGUAAUGGCUUACCAAGGCAACGAUCUUUAGCUGGUUUGAGAGGAUGAUCAGCCACACUGGGACUGAGACACGGCCCAGACUCCUACGGGAGGCAGCAGUGGGGAAUACUGCACAAUGGGGGAGACCCUGAUGCAGCCAUGCCGCGUGUGUGAAGAAGGCCUUCGGGUUGUAAAGCACUUUCAGCAGUGAGGAAGGUCGUGUACUUACUACGUGCACGGCUUGAUGUUAGCUGCAGAAGAAGCACCGGCUAACUCCGUGCCAGCAGCCGCGGUAAUACGGAGGGUGCGAGCGUUAAUCGGAAUUACUGGGCGUAAAGCGCAUGCAGGCGGUUUGUUAAGUCAGAUGUGAAAGCCUGGGGCUCAACCUCGGAACCGCAUUUGAAACUGGCAGGCUAGAGUCUUGUAGA